rnacentral:precursor_RNA from 11 species
GGAACUCACGCUGCUGAGUGGCAUGCGUUGGCAUCAAAUUUGGUUGUUUUAGUACGACCUCUUUGAAACCCCUAUCACAGCCAGCUUUGAUGAGCAACGCACCACUCAUACUCACGAAUGCUUCG